UUGGAGGGCAAGUCUGGUGCCAGCAGCCGCGGUAAUUCCAGCUCCAAUAGCGUAUAUUAAAGUUGUUGCAGUUAAAAAGCUCGUAGUUGAAUUUCGGGAUCAAUCUAUCGGUCGUGCAAUAGUACGUACUGAUUUUAUUGAUUCCUCCCUUCUGAUGAACUAUGAUGUCAUUAAUUUGGUGUCAUAGGGAAUCAGGACUGUUACUUUGAAAAAAUUAGAGUGUUUAAAGCAGGCUCACGCUUGAAUACAUUAGCAUGGAAUAACGAAAUAGGACGUUUGAUUCUAUUUUGUUGGUUUCUAGGAUCGACGUAAUGAUUAAUAGGGAUAGUUGGGGGCAUUAGUAUUCAAUUGUCAGAGGUGAAAUUCUUGGAUUUAUUGAAGACUAACUACUGCGAAAGCAUUUGCCAAGGAUGUUUUCAUUAAUCAAGAACGAAAGUUAGGGGAUCGAAGACGAUCAGAUACCGUCGUAGUCUUAACCAUAAACUAUGCCGACUAGGGAUCGGAUGAUGUUAAUUUUUUAAUGACUCAUUCGGCGCCUUACGGGAAACCAAAGUGUUUGGGUUC
rnacentral:rRNA from 1 species